GUUUUCUAAGAACAACUCAGAGUUGUUUACCUUGUUUUUGAGAACAUACGGAGAACACUGUUCUCCACUUAAAAAAGCGGCCCGUACGUUUUUAUAAUCCUUAUUUAUAACAGUUUUGUGCAAGUUGAAACCAGUAUCUCGCUCCUUCACGAUGAAGCUCUGCAACACCUCAUCUGAAACCGGCAUCCUGCUCCUAUCUACCGCUUCUCUCUAUAAGAUCGCUUUGUAACACUGUACUUCUCUCCUCUGCAUCCACACUCUUGCUUAGAUUUUUUCAAGCUCCAUCUGUUCAGGAUGGCAUCUCAAAUUGCUGAUGUUGAGGAGUCAGCUCUGUGGUCUACAGAAUUAGAAAGAUGUUUUGUUGAUAUAAUGGUUGAGGAUGUCAACAAGGGGAACAUGCCAUCUGGGAUAUUUACUUCCAAGUGUUAGAAAAAGAUUGCGAAGGAGUUCAAAAACAAGACUAAUCACGCUUAUAAUGUGAAGCAACUAAAGGAAAAUUUUAAUUGAUUACGUACAAAGCAUCAUGAGUUUUCAACUCUUCUAAAUGAGACAACUGGGUUUGGUUGGGAUGUGGAAACAAACACUGUGACUGCUGAUGAAGAAACUUGACAAACAUAUUUGCGGGCUCAUCCCAAUGCUAAGUGUUUUCGCAAAAAAGGUUGUGAAAAUUACAAACUUUUGGGAGUUCUUUUUAAUACGUCGACUGUUACUAGGUAACUUCACUAUGCAUCCACUCAAGAUCCACCUAAUAUAGAUGAAGAACGAGAGCAGGAGGAUCAAUUUAUGAAUACAGGUGUCCAUUUUAGUUCAACUGUUGAAGGUCAAGAUGAUUCAGAUAAUAUUCUAGUUGAAGACAAUAAUCUUCGUCGUCGUAAAUCCACAUCCUCUGAUCGUCGUGCAAAAAAAGGAGCGUAAAAAAGAUUCCAUUAGUGAUACUCUUACUUGUAUUGUUGAAGCUUCCAAAGCAAGGACUGAAGCUUCAUUAGCUAAGGCAGAGACAUAUAAGAAAAUGAAACAUACUCAAAAGGCAACUAGCCCAGACGCAUACUCUCUAAGUAAUUGUAUUGAAUGCCUUGAGGGUCUUGAUAAGAUAGAUGAUGUCACAUAUUUGAAGGCAACUGAAAAGUUCAAGGAAUUGCACUAUAGAGAAUUGUUCAUUAAGAUGGGUAUUUCUAGGAAGUUUGCUUGGUUGAAGAGCUUGGACUAACUUGAAGUUUGCUUGGUUGAAGAGCUUGGACUGACUUGAGUGGUUACUGAAUGUAGGGUUUAGUUUUUGGUUACAUGUGACUUGAAACACAUAUUUGGUUUUAUGUGUUAUUGAACAAUUUCCUUAUGCCUUAUUUUGUUUUUUUUUCCCCAUAUGCAUGUGACUUUAUGUUAUAUUCGUGUGUGGGAUAAUUUAUUAUGUUUUAUGUUAUGAAAACUUUGUUUUGGUGUA